rnacentral:rRNA from 1 species
GGAGGCGAGAAAAGCUCUGAGGUAUGCUAAGGUGCCCGUACCGCAAACCGACACAGGUAGAUGAGGAGAGAAUCCUAAGGCCAACGGGAGAAGGGUUGUUAAGGAACUCGGCAAAUUGACCCCGUAACUUCGGAAGAAGGGGAGCCCCCUACGGGGGGUCGCAGAGAAAUGGCCCAAGCAACUGUUUACCAAAAACACAGGUCUAUGCUAAAUCGAAAGAUGACGUAUAUGGGCUGACGCCUGCCCGGUGCCGGAAGGUUAAGAGGAGAUGUCAGGCAACGAAGCAUUGAAUUUAAGCCCCGGUAAACGGCGGCCGUAACUAUAACGGUCCUAAGGUAGCGAAAUUCCUUGUCAGGUAAGUUCUGACCCGCACGAAUGGCGUAAUGAUUUGGGCACUGUCUCAACAGCCCGCCCGGCGAAAUUGUAGUACUGGUGAAGAUGCCAGUUACCCGCAACUAGACGGAAAGACCCCAUGGAGCUUUACUGCAGCUUAAUACUGAAAUUCGGUAGUACAUGUACAGGAUAGGUGGGAGACUGAGAAAUACAGGCGUCAGCUUGUAUGGAGUCGCUGUUGGGAUACCACUCUUGUACUGCUGGAUUUCUAACCUGCGGCCGUGAAUCCGGUCGGGGGACACUGUUAGGCGGGCAGUUUGACUGGGGCGGUCGCCUCCCAAAAGGUAACGGAGGCGCUCAAAGGUUCGUUCAGCACGGACGGAAAUCGUGCAAUGAGUGUAAACGCAUAAACGAGCCUAACUGCGACACCGACGGGUGGAGCAGUAACGAAAGUUGGAGUUAGUGAUCCGGUGGUAUGUGAGUGGAAAUGCCAUCGCUCAACGGAUAAAAGCUACCCUGGGGAUAACAGGCUGAUCUCCCCCAAGCGUCCACAGCGACGGGGAGGUUUGGCACCUCGAUGUCGGCUCGUCGCAUCCUGGGGCUGAAUUCGGUCCCAAGGGUUUGGCUGUUCGCCAAUUAAAGCGGCACGCGAGCUGGGUUCAGAACGUCGUGAGACAGUUCGGUCCCUAUCUGUUGCGGGCGUAAGAGAUUUGAAGGGAGCUGUCCUUAGUACGAGAGGACCGGGAUGGACGUACCUCUGGUGCACCAGUUGUCCUGCCAAGGGCAUAGCUGGGUAGCUAUGUACGGACGAGAUAAACGCUGAAAGCAUCUAAGCGUGAAACUCCCCCUAAGAUGAGAUCUCUCAUCCUUUAAGGAGUAAGGACCCAGAAAGACGAUCUGGUUGAUAGGCCGAAGGUGGAAGCGCAGUAAUGUGUGCAGCUGAUCGGUACUAAUAGUCCGAGGGCUUGACCU